rnacentral:rRNA from 1 species
CCUACGGGAGGCAGCAGUAGGGAAUCUUGCGCAAUGGGCGAAACCCUGACGCAGCAACGCCGCGUGGUGGAUUGAGGUUUUCGGAUUGUAAACUCCUUUUGUUAGCGUAGGUAAUGACGGUAUCUAACGAAUAAGCACCGGCUAACUCCGUUCCAGCAGCCGCGGUAAUACGGAGGGUGGAAGCGUUACUCGGAAUCACUGGGCGGAAAGAGCGCGGAGGCGGGAGGGCAAGUCAGAUGUGAAAUCCUAGGGCUUAACCAGAGAACUGCACUUGAAACUGUUAUUCUAGAGUAUGGGAGAGGUAGGUGGAAUUCUUGGUGUAGGGGUAAAAUCCGUAGAGAUCAAGAGGAAUACUCAUUGCGAAGGCGACCUGCUAGAACAUAACUGACGCUGAUGCGCGAAAGCGUGGGGAGCAAACAGGAUUAGAUACCCCUGUAGUC